rnacentral:rRNA from 1 species
GACGAACGCUGGCGGCGUGCUUAACACAUGCAAGUCGAACGAUGAAGCUGGAGCUUGCUCCGGUGGAUUAGUGGCGAACGGGUGAGUAACACGUGAGCAAUCUGCCCUUCACUCUGGGAUAACUGCGGGAAACUGUAGCUAAUACCGGAUACUUUCCCUGGUGGGCAUCCACUAGGGAAGAAAGAAUUUCGGUGAAGGAUGAUCUCGCGGCCUACCAGCUAGUUGGUGAGGUAAUGGCUCACCAAGGCGACGACGGGUAGCCGGCCUGAGAGGGUGACCGGCCACACUGGGACUGAGACACGGCCCAGACUCCUACGGGAGGCAGCAGUGGGGAAUAUUGCACAAUGGGCGAAAGCCUGAUGCAGCAACGCCGCGUGAGGGAUGAAGGCCUUCGGGUUGUAAACCUCUUUUAGCAGGGAAGAAGCGAAAGUGACGGUACCUGCAGAAAAAGCACCGGCUAACUACGUGCCAGCCGCCGCAGUAA